rnacentral:sRNA from 1 species
UUUGCUGAGGUUUAGAAACAUUUUUGAUUGUCAGUCUUGGCUAAACUUAGUGAUUUGGCUUUAAUUCUGUCUAAGAGGGUAAGAUUGUUCAGAAAAAAAUGGUUGAAGCAAUUAUAGUAUCAGUGAGUUUCUGAUUUUUUUGUUGUUUGGUUCAAUAGGAGUUUCAAUGCACUGUGUGAGGGAAGAACAUUCCGCUGUCAAUAUGAACCUCCACUACUUGGAAAAUGGCACUGUUAUGUUGAACUUUAUUUACCGGAAGGAACUGUUUUUUCUUCCUUUGGGAUUUGCACUUAAGGCACUUGUCAGCUUUUCUGAUUAUCAGAUCUUUCAGGAGCUCAUCAAAGGAAAAGAGGAUGAUUCUUUCCUUAGGAACUCUGUUUCUCAGAUGUUAAGGAUUGUAAUGGAAGAGGGUUGUUCGACACAAAAACAGGUCCUUAACUACCUAGGUGAAUGCUUCAGAGUAAAACUCAAUGUUCCUGACUGGUAUCCAAAUGAGCAAGCUGCGGAGUUCCUGUUCAACCAGUGCAUCUGUAUCCACUUGAAAUCCAAUACUGAAAAGUUUUAUAUGCUUUGUCUCAUGACGCGAAAGCUCUUUGCUUUAGCCAAAGGAGAGUGCAUGGAGGACAAUCCUGAUAGUUUAGUGAACCAAGAAGUCCUCACACCGGGUCAGCUCUUCCUU